rnacentral:rRNA from 1 species
GAUGAACGCUGGCGGCGUGCUUAACACAUGCAAGUCGAACGAAGCACUUUAUUUGAUUUCCUUCGGGACUGAUUAUUUUGUGACUGAGUGGCGGACGGGUGAGUAACGCGUGGGUAACCUGCCUUGUACAGGGGGAUAACAGUUGGAAACGGCUGCUAAUACCGCAUAAGCGCACGGCAUCGCAUGAUGCAGUGUGAAAAACUCCGGUGGUAUAAGAUGGACCCGCGUUGGAUUAGCUAGUUGGUGAGGUAACGGCCCACCAAGGCGACGAUCCAUAGCCGACCUGAGAGGGUGACCGGCCACAUUGGGACUGAGACACGGCCAAAACUCCUACGGGAGGCAGCAGUGGGGAAUAUUGCACAAUGGGCGAAAGCCUGAUGCAGCGACGCCGCGUGAGCGAAGAAGUAUUUCGGUAUGUAAAGCUCUAUCAGCAGGGAAGAUAAUGACGGUACCUGACGAAGAAGCACCGGCUAAAUACGUG